GUCGAGCGGUAGAGAGAAGCUUGCUUCUCUUGAGAGCGGCGGACGGGUGAGUAAUGCCUAGGAAUCUGCCUGGUAGUGGGGGAUAACGUUCGGAAACGGACGCUAAUACCGCAUACGUCCUACGGGAGAAAGCAGGGGACCUUCGGGCCUUGCGCUAUCAGAUGAGCCUAGGUCGGAUUAGCUAGUUGGUGAGGUAAUGGCUCACCAAGGCGACGAUCCGUAACUGGUCUGAGAGGAUGAUCAGUCACACUGGAACUGAGACACGGUCCAGACUCCUACGGGAGGCAGCAGUGGGGAAUAUUGGACAAUGGGCGAAAGCCUGAUCCAGCCAUGCCGCGUGUGUGAAGAAGGUCUUCGGAUUGUAAAGCACUUUAAGUUGGGAGGAAGGGUUGUAGAUUAAUACUCUGCAAUUUUGACGUUACCGACAGAAUAAGCACCGGCUAACUCUGUGCCAGCAGCCGCGGUAAUACAGAGGGUGCAAGCGUUAAUCGGAAUUACUGGGCGUAAAGCGCGCGUAGGUGGUUUGUUAAGUUGGAUGUGAAAUCCCCGGGCUCAACCUGGGAACUGCAUUCAAAACUGACUGACUAGAGUAUGGUAGAGGGUGGUGGAAUUUCCUGUGUAGCGGUGAAAUGCGUAGAUAUAGGAAGGAACACCAGUGGCGAAGGCGACCACCUGGACUAAUACUGACACUGAGGUGCGAAAGCGUGGGGAGCAAACAGGAUUAGAUACCCUGGUAGUCCACGCCGUAAACGAUGUCA
rnacentral:rRNA from 1 species